rnacentral:rRNA from 1 species
UAAGCGACUAAGCGUACACGGUGGAUGCCCUGGCAGUCAGAGGCGAUGAAGGACGUGCUAAUCUGCGAAAAGCGCCGGCGAGGUGAUAUGAACCUUUGACCCGGCGAUGUCCGAAUGGGGAAACCCAGUGCAAUCCGUUGCACUAUCGUUAACUGAAUACAUAGGUUAACGAGGCGAACCGGGGGAACUGAAACAUCUAAGUACCCCGAGGAAAAGAAAUCAACCGAGAUUCCCCCAGUAGCGGCGAGCGAACGGGGAGCAGCCCGGAGUCUGAAUCAGCUUGUGUGUUAGUGGAACGGUCUGGAAAGUCCGACGGUACAGGGUGAUAGUCCCGUACACGAAAGCACACAUGCUGUGAACUCGAAGAGUAGGGCGGGACACGUGGUAUCCUGUCUGAAUAUGGGGGGACCAUCCUCCAAGGCUAAAUACUCCUGACUGACCGAUAGUGAACCAGUACCGUGAGGGAAAGGCGAAAAGAACCCCGGCGAGGGGAGUGAAAAAGAACCUGAAACCGUGUACGUACAAGCAGUGGGAGCCUCUUUAUGGGGUGACUGCGUACCUUUUGUAUAAUGGGUCAGCGACUUAUAUUCUGUAGCAAGGUUAACCGUAUAGGGGAGCCGAAGGGAAACCGAGUCUUAACUGGGCGUUAAGUUGCAGGGUAUAGACCCGAAACCCGGUGAUCUAGCCAUGGGCAGGUUGAAGGUUGGGUAACACUAACUGGAGGACCGAACCGACUAAUGUUGAAAAAUUAGCGGAUGACCUGUGGCUGGGGGUGAAAGGCCAAUCAAACCGGGAGAUAGCUGGUUCUCCCCGAAAGCUAUUUAGGUAGCGCCUCGUGAACUCAUCUUCGGGGGUAGAGCACUGUUUCGGCUAGGGGGCCAUCCCGGCUUACCAACCCGAUGCAAACUACGAAUACCGAAGAAUGUUAUCACGGGAGACACACGGCGGGUGCUAACGUCCGUCGUGAAGAGGGAAACAACCCAGACCGCCAGCUAAGGUCCCAAAGUCAUGGUUAAGUGGGAAACGAUGUGGGAAGGCACAGACAGCCAGGAUGUUGGCUUAGAAGCAGCCAUCAUUUAAAGAAAGCGUAAUAGCUCACUGGUCGAGUCGGCCUGCGCGGAAGAUGUAACGGGGCUAAACCAUGCACCGAAGCUGCGGCAGCGACGCUUAUGCGUUGUUGGGUAGGGGAGCGUUCUGUAAGCCGUUGAAGGUGUCCUGUGAGGGGUGCUGGAGGUAUCAGAAGUGCGAAUGCUGACAUAAGUAACGAUAAAGCGGGUGAAAAGCCCGCUCGCCGGAAGACCAAGGGUUCCUGUCCAACGUUAAUCGGGGCAGGGUGAGUCGACCCCUAAGGCGAGGCCGAAAGGCGUAGUCGAUGGGAAACAGGUUAAUAUUCCUGUACUUGGUGUUACUGCGAAGGGGGGACGGAGAAGGCUAUGUCAGCCGGGCGACGGUUGUCCCGGUUUAAGCAUGUAGGCGGAGGUUCCAGGUAAAUCCGGUACCUUGUUAACGCUGAGGUGUGAUGACGAGGCACUACGGUGCUGAAGUGAUAAAUGCCCUGCUUCCAGGAAAAGCCUCUAAGCAUCAGGUAACACGAAAUCGUACCCCAAACCGACACAGGUGGUCAGGUAGAGAAUACCAAGGCGCUUGAGAGAACUCGGGUGAAGGAACUAGGCAAAAUGGUGCCGUAACUUCGGGAGAAGGCACGCUGAUGUGUAGGUGAAGUCCCUGCGGACGGAGCUGAAAUCAGUCGAAGAUACCAGCUGGCUGCAACUGUUUAUUAAAAACACAGCACUGUGCAAACACGAAAGUGGACGUAUACGGUGUGACGCCUGCCCGGUGCCGGAAGGUUAAUUGAUGGGGUUAGCGGCAACGCGAAGCUCUUGAUCGAAGCCCCGGUAAACGGCGGCCGUAACUAUAACGGUCCUAAGGUAGCGAAAUUCCUUGUCGGGUAAGUUCCGACCUGCACGAAUGGCGUAAUGAUGGCCAGGCUGUCUCCACCCGAGACUCAGUGAAAUUGAACUCGCUGUGAAGAUGCAGUGUACCCGCGGCAAGACGGAAAGACCCCGUGAACCUUUACUAUAGCUUGACACUGAACACUGGUCCUUGAUGUGUAGGAUAGGUGGGAGGCUUUGAAGCGUGGACGCCAGUCUGCGUGGAGCCAACCUUGAAAUACCACCCUUUAAUGGCUGGUGUUCUAACGUAGACCCGUAAUCCGGGUUGCGGACAGUGUCUGGUGGGUAGUUUGACUGGGGCGGUCUCCUCCCAAAGAGUAACGGAGGAGCACGAAGGUUGGCUAAUCCUGGUCGGACAUCAGGAGGUUAGUGCAAUGGCAUAAGCCAGCUUGACUGCGAGCGUGACGGCGCGAGCAGGUGCGAAAGCAGGUCAUAGUGAUCCGGUGGUUCUGAAUGGAAGGGCCAUCGCUCAACGGAUAAAAGGUACUCCGGGGAUAACAGGCUGAUACCGCCCAAGAGUUCAUAUCGACGGCGGUGUUUGGCACCUCGAUGUCGGCUCAUCACAUCCUGGGGCUGAAGUAGGUCCCAAGGGUAUGGCUGUUCGCCAUUUAAAGUGGUACGCGAGCUGGGUUUAGAACGUCGUGAGACAGUUCGGUCCCUAUCUGCCGUGGGCGCUGGAGAAUUGAGGGGGGCUGCUCCUAGUACGAGAGGACCGGAGUGGACGCAUCACUGGUGUUCGGGUUGUCAUGCCAAUGGCACUGCCCGGUAGCUAAAUGCGGAAGAGAUAAGUGCUGAAAGCAUCUAAGCACGAAACUUGCCCCGAGAUGAGUUCUCCCUGAGACCUUGAGUCUCCUGAAGGAACGUUGAAGACGACGACGUUGAUAGGUCGGGUGUGUAAGCGCAGCGAUGCGUUGAGCUAACCGAUACUAAUGAACCGUGAGGCUUAACCU